CUGGGGCGUCGUCUAACGGCAGGACAGCGGACUUUGGAUCCGCCGGUGGUGGUUCGAGUCCACCCGCCCCAGCC
rnacentral:tRNA from 1 species